rnacentral:rRNA from 1 species
GAUGAACGCUGGCGGCGUGCCUAAUACAUGCAAGUCGAGCGAACGGACGAGAAGCUUGCUUCUCUGAUGUUAGCGGCGGACGGGUGAGUAACACGUGGAUAACCUACCUAUAAGACUGGGAUAACUUCGGGAAACCGGAGCUAAUACCGGAUAAUAUUUUGAACCGCAUGGUUCAAAAGUGAAAGACGGUCUGGCUGUCACUUAUAGAUGGAUCCGCGCUGCAUUAGCUAGUUGGUAAGGUAACGGCUUACCAAGGCAACGAUGCAUAGCCGACCUGAGAGGGUGAUCGGCCACACUGGAACUGAGACACGGUCCAGACUCCUACGGGAGGCAGCAGUAGGGAAUCUUCCGCAAAGGGCGAAAGCCUGACGGAGCAACGCCGCGUGAGUGAUGAAGGUCUUCGGAUCGUAAAACUCUGUUAUUAGGGAAGAACAUAUGUGUAAGUAACUGUGCACAUCUUGACGGUACCUAAUCAGAAAGCCACGGCUAACUACGUG